rnacentral:rRNA from 1 species
AACGAACGCUGGCGGCAGGCUUAACACAUGCAAGUCGAGCGCCCCGCAAGGGGAGCGGCAGACGGGUGAGUAACGCGUGGGAAUCUACCCAUCUCUACGGAACAACUCCGGGAAACUGGAGCUAAUACCGUAUACGUCCUUCGGGAGAAAGAUUUAUCGGAGAUGGAUGAGCCCGCGUUGGAUUAGCUAGUUGGUGGGGUAAUGGCCUACCAAGGCGACGAUCCAUAGCUGGUCUGAGAGGAUGAUCAGCCACACUGGGACUGAGACACGGCCCAGACUCCUACGGGAGGCAGCAGUGGGGAAUAUUGGACAAUGGGCGAAAGCCUGAUCCAGCCAUGCCGCGUGAGUGAUGAAGGCCUUAGGGUUGUAAAGCUCUUUCGCAGGUGAAGAUAAUGACGGUAACCUGAGAAGAAGCCCCGGCUAACUUCGUGCCAGCCGCCGCUGUAACAC